GUGGCCCAUGAUUUGGAACUUUACAACACAGGAUAUUAUUUAGGCAUGUUCAUGAAUUCAUUUGCUGUCUUUCAGGAAUGUGGUCUUUGGGUAUUGACGGAUGCAAACCUUGUAAAGGAUUCUAUUGAUGGUGUUUAUCCAAGAUUUACCAAGAAUUUGAAGUUGCUCUACCUAAUUCUGUCAGUCCCCGGGAGGCUACUGCUUUUGUGAUCUCUGAAGACUUAGGUCUUAGACUAGCAACUGC